rnacentral:lncRNA from 1 species
GCAGCUUUUGGGCUGCAUGUGCAUAUUGAGUCACAGGAUAGGACCCCAAGGUGCCUGUGAUGGUCUGCACUCACCGUAUGAGUAUCUCUAUGCCCAAGGGAGCGUGACACUAAACAGCAAGUAGAUGGGCCCUAGAACAUUUCCCUCUGAUCUCCGUCCCCCUCCCAGCACACCAUGGCUGGGCCCCUGCGCACCCCACUGCUCCUGCUGGCUGCCCUGCCCAUGAUCCUCGAGAGGGACUCCAGGGAAGAAGAGCCUCACAUGGACCACGCUGGGUGGAAAGCCGACAUCGAAGAGGAAGAUGUGCAGGAGGCGCUGAACUUUGUCCUCAGCGAGUAAAACAAGACCAGCGACCACGAGAACCCCAGCCACGUGCUGCAGGUGGUACACGCCCGCAAGCAGAUCAUGCCUGGGAUGAACUACUUCCUGGACGUGGAGUUCGUCUGAACAAAAUGCCCAACGUGGACAGCUGUCCCUUCCGCAUGGGAGGUUUCCAGGAGCACCCCUUGAGACAGUGGGAGUUGGGGAUCAAUGGUCCCUCAUUCUUUGCCCUCAGUGGGACAAAUCUGAGGUAUGUUCUACAUGGUCUUUCUGCUAAGCUCACAGCACAGAAAAACCGUGUAGCACUUUUCACUGCCUGCAUUAUUGCUUUCCUUUCUUCCCUCCCUGCUUCUCCUCAAGGAGCUCUCCGGAAUCACCGCCUGUUAAACUACCUGAAUCCAUUCCUCACCUCAGAGUCAGCUCCUGGAGGAACCCAAACUAAGCCUGGCCCCAUCUGCCCUGUGGCCUCAUCCUGCACUGUUCUCCCUCUCACUGCCCCACAUACAGGGCCUCUGUAUGUGCUGCUCUUUCUUUCUGAAAGGGAUUCCUACCCCCUUCUCCAUCCCAACUCCCCCUUCCUGACUAACUCCUAUAUGCCCUUCAGAUCAGCUGGAAAAACCUCCACAGGGCAGCCUUUCCAGAGUCAGUCACAGAUUGGUUCUUCAAUCCUACUUUCUCAGACCCUCUGACCACUUAGAUUGGUUUGUAAAUUUGUGUGCGUGAUUAUGAUAAUUUGAUUAAUACUUUACCCUCAGUAGACUGUCAGCUUCUUGAAAGGAAUGACCACAUGCCUUAUUGCUUUCCAUUUUCUCUCCCCAAAGCACCACAAAGCCAGGCUUGUUAUUGGUGUCCAAUUAAUAUUCAUUCAAGCCAAAUGAAUUUGAAGAUAUUUUAAAAUUGUCACGGAGGUUACUCACAGCAAUGACUCAAGAACUCUCAAAUCGUUUAAGCUGUGUGACCUUGGGCACUUUCCUUCAACUCUCUGAGCAUCAAUUUCCUAACGUGGAAAUGGGGGUCAUAACAGCCCGUAGGUUAUAGGGCUUUCUUAAGAAGCGAAUGAGAUCUUGCAGGUAAAGUACUUAGCAAGGUGUCUGACACAUUCUAAGUCUGAAUUAAAAUAUUAGGGUUCUUUCUUUCCAUCGACACAGUUUGUGAGAGACUGGGGAUUACAUGGAAAGAUGAGGAAGAGGUAGAAAAUAAAACCUAUGGGAAAGGCA